rnacentral:ncRNA from 1 species
AAAUAAAUUUUUUAUGGUUUAAAAAAUUUAUUUAAAGUUUAUUUUACAUAUAAAUUUUAGUGUUGUUUAUUGAUUAUUUAAAUAAUAUUUAAUUUAGCGUAGUAAUUAAUUUUAAAAAUUUAAGAAAUUAAGAUUUAGUGAUAUUUGAAUUAAUAACUAAUUUUGUGCCAGCAGUUGCGGUUACACAAAGAUUAAUUUAAAUUUUUUUUGGUGUUUAAUUAAUAAAUUAUUAUGUAAAUAAUUUAAAAUUUAAAUUUUAAGGUGAAAUUUUAAUUUAAUAUAAAAUUAUUUAAUAUUUAUGAUUUGGUAAAUUUUAUGAAAAACUAGGAUUAGAUACCCUAUUAUUAAAAAUUUAAAUUAAUAAUACUUAAAUAGUAGAUAAUUAUUUAUUAAAACUUAAAUAAUUUGGCGGUGUUUUAGUUUAUUUAGAGGAAUCUGUUUAAUAAUUGAUAUUCCACGAAUAAAUUUACUUAAUUUAAUUAUUUUGUAUAUCGUUGUUAUAAAAAUAUUUUUUAAUAAUAUUAAUAUUUAAAAAUUUAAAUUUUUAAGUUAAAUCAGAUCAAGAUGCAGAUUAUAAUUAAGAAUAUAAUGGAUUACAAUAAAUUUAUUUGGUUAAAUUGGAUUUUAAUUUGAAAUGAUUAAAUAAAAUUGGAUUUAAAUGUAAUUUUAAAUAGAUUUUUAAAAUGAUUAAAUAUUAAAAUAUGUACAUAUUGCCCGUCGCUUUCAUUUAUAAAUUGAAAUAAGUCGUAACAAAGUAGAGGUACUGGAAAGUGUUUCUAGAAAGAU